GGGGUUGUAGCUCAGUGGUAGAGCACUUGCUUAGCAUGUGUGAGGCACUGGGUUCAAUCCACAGCACCA
rnacentral:tRNA from 1 species